GAGCUAUUGGCAUGUUGUGGCG
rnacentral:siRNA from 1 species